rnacentral:rRNA from 1 species
AUGAACGCUGGCGGCGUGCCUAAUACAUGCAAGUCGAGCGAACAGACGAGGAGCUUGCUCCUCUGACGUUAGCGGCGGACGGGUGAGUAACACGUGGAUAACCUACCUAUAAGACUGGGAUAACUUCGGGAAACCGGAGCUAAUACCGGAUAAUAUAUUGAACCGCAUGGUUCAAUAGUGAAAGACGGUUUUGCUGUCACUUAUAGAUGGAUCCGCGCCGCAUUAGCUAGUUGGUAAGGUAACGGCUUACCAAGGCAACGAUGCGUAGCCGACCUGAGAGGGUGAUCGGCCACACUGGAACUGAGACACGGUCCAGACUCCUACGGGAGGCAGCAGUAGGGAAUCUUCCGCAAUGGGCGAAAGCUUGACGGAGCAACGCCGCGUGAGUGAUGAGGGUCUUCGGAUCGUAAAACUCUGUUAUUAGGGAAGAACAAAUGUGUAAGUAACUAUGCACGUCUUGACGGUACCUAAUCAGAAAGCCACGGCUAACUACGUG